GAGAGCAAUCUAUUUUGCUGGUGUUGGGGGUUAAUGACUAUUGCCAAAGAUAAGUGAAUUAUCAAAGCUGUUGCUCUUGCCUCGUCUCAAAAUCCGUUACAUUGCCUGGUCGUCUAAUUAAAUACACUUGAUUUAACCUUUAAGAAAGCCAGACGACUCCCCAGCAAGAGUCUCCAGCAAGAACGAUCCGAAGAGAUGGAAAAAAACGUGGUUUCAGAUGCAGCAAGAAUGCUAAGGAGGCUGGUGAUACGACAAGUGAUUCAACUAGCAGCAGGCCCAGUGUUACACUAACAAAAUGCCAGCGCUUGAUUCUACGUGGUUGUCUCAUGCAUCAUAGAAUAAGACCAACAAGGCACAUUGAUAAUACAAUCUCAGAAAAAAGGGUACCAGUUUGUACCUUUGUUUGUCACUGGUCACUGGGUCAGGACCUCACAAUUCUGUACCUUUUAAGGUACAGAACAAGACUCCCAAUGUACACAAAAAUGUUCCUCAGAGUCCAUUUCUGUACCUUAAAAGGUACAAUUACCUACAGCUAAGGGUACAAUUGACAGACCCUUGAGGGUUCGGCACCAGUGACAAAUUGGUACCCUCUUUUCUGAGUGUACAUAAACUUUAAAAAGAGUGAGCAUCUGCAAGAUUCCAGUUUCCUUCAUUUUAAAACUGUUUUCAGAGUGUUUGUUGUCUAUCCAACACGGGUGACAAAGUUCCUGCAGUUAGUUUCUGGAGAGAUAUACUAAAAUGAUUACGCCUCUGUGUAAAUUAUACUUCAUCAAACCGCAGCCUGCUUUGUAUAUGAAUUGCAUUAGAAGAUAAGUUACAGCCUGAGUGUUUCCGCUGAAUUAGAUGGUGGCAAAGCAUAAUGGGAUUAUUUUACUGAACAUUUUCUGUGAAUAAAGGAACUCCUGAAACACA